rnacentral:rRNA from 1 species
GCAUAAUCAAUUGUUCUUUAAUUGAGGACUGGAAUGAAGGGUAGAAAUUUUGAAGGAAAGUUUUAUUUAAUAACUUUGAAUUUAAAUUAGAAGUAAAAAUUCUUUUAUAAUUUUUUGGGACGAGAAGACCCUAAAAGCUUAUAAUUUUAAAAAGAAUUUUCGGUUGGGGCAAUAAUUGAAGAUAGAAAUUUUUAAAUUUUUAUUGAAAAAAAAAUGAAGUUACUUUAGGGAUAACAGCAUUAUAUAGUUUUCGAGUUCUUAUUAAUAACUAUGAUUGUGACCUCGAUGUUGAAUUAAAU